ensembl:rRNA 5S_rRNA 5S ribosomal RNA
GUCUAUGGCCAUACCACCCUGAACAUGCCCGAUCUCAUCUGAUCUCGGAAGCUAAGCAGGGUCGGCCCUCAUUAGUACUUGGAUGGGAGAAAGACAAUAAAAAACAAACAGAAAUAGAUU